ACUUCUCCAUCACCCUCCUUUCAUCAGGAGAGGUGUAUCCUCAAGAGGAGUAGGUUGCUCGGUCCGAAGAGCAAGGUCAAGAUCCAUGCAACCGAGAACGAUCAUUAUGUUCUCUUUCCAUUCCUUAAAGUUUGUGCUAUUAAGCACAGGGAUGCUAUUGAUGUUGGAAGAUAUCGAAGCAGCAGAAGAAUUAACUGAAAAUAGAACAAAAGGAUGACUUAACACAUGCUUCAAUUACUUGAACUUUAAAUUUACUUUAUAGAUUCAAAAUAGGCAAAUCCCAUUACAAGAUACCAAGCACAACAUUGAUUUUAGUCUUUGGACAGAAAAAUAACUUGUAAGUGGUACUCUUGGUGUAGUGAUCAAACAUAGACAAUAAACUUCUGUCAAAUAUCAAACCUUCCUUUG
rnacentral:lncRNA from 1 species